rnacentral:rRNA from 1 species
UCAGAACGAACGCUGGCGGCGUGCUUAACACAUGCAAGUCGAACGCGAAAGGGACUUCGGUCCUGAGUAAAGUGGCGGCACGGGUGAGUAACGCGUAGAUAACCUGUCUUCAUGUCUGGAAUAAUACGCCGAAAGGGGUACUAAUACCGGAUAUUCUUGCUUUUCAUAAGUUAUGCAAGCAAAGGUGGCCUCUGCAUAUGCUACUGCAUGAAGAGGGGUCUGCGUACCAUUAGCUAGUAGGUGGGGUAAUGGCCUACCUAGGCGACGAUGGUUAGCGGGUCUGAGAGGAUGAUCCGCCACACUGGCACUGGAACACGGGCCAGACUCCUACGGGAGGCAGCAGUGAGGAAUAUUGCGCAAUGGGGGAAACCCUGACGCAGCGACGCCGCGUGAGUGAGGAAGGCCUUCGGGUCGUAAAGCUCUGUCAAGAGGAAAGAAGUGUACAAUGGCUAAUACCUGUUGUAUUUGACGGUACCUCUAAAGGAAGCACCGGCUAACUCCGUGCCAGCAGCCGC